rnacentral:rRNA from 1 species
GUGCCAGCCGCCGCGGUAAUACGGAGGAUCCGAGCGUUAUCCGGAUUUAUUGGGUUUAAAGGGUGCGUAGGUGGAUUGUUAAGUCAGUGGUGAAAGUUUUCAGCUCAACUGAAAAAUUGCCGUUGAAACUGUCGAUCUUGAGUGCAAAUGAGGUAGGCGGAAUGUGUUGUGUAGCGGUGAAAUGCUUAGAUAUAACACAGAACUCCGAUUGCGAAGGCAGCUUACUGGGAUGCAACUGACACUGAUGCACGAAAGCGUGGGUAUCAAACAGGAUUAGAUACCCUGGUAGUCCACGCAGUAAACGAUGAAUACUAGCUGUAUGCGAUACACCGUAUGUGGCACAGCGAAAGCGUUAAGUAUUCCACCUGGGGAGUACGUUCGCAAGAAUGAAACUCAAAGAAAUUGACGG